CGGCGGCCGAGGAGCCCGGCUCCUCCGGUCUGUGCGAAGGCGGGCUGCGAUCCCCGCCCCCAGCUGAAGAAUAUGCAGUAGUUUCAGCUAUGAUGGGAUUUAUAUAGGUUCCUGGAGGAUAAUCUGAGAAACUAACCACCUUUUUAUAACACUGUUUCCUUGGAAAAUACAUCGCAAGUUCCAAAUGAUCCGCUAAGAACAUCUGUGAUCUGAUUUAUCUGUCCCUCAGCAGAGUGAGACCCAAGUGUGGUUUCUUUAUCCACAAACACUGCUGCCCAGGAUUAGACUCUGAGUCAUCUCACUCUUUGUCCAGUCUUCUCUCUAAUGGAUUGUGCUGUUUCUCUCUUCUACUGAAAUUGCCCUUUCUCUCCCUCUGCCGACCAGCCUGACCUGGAUCCUCCUUGUUUCAGUCCCAGAAUCAAAUUGGAGCUGGAGUGGAGCCUUCCAGCUCCUGUCCCAGCUCUCCUUCCCAGCUGCCAUGGAACGUGUGCUCCGGCAUUCUGUUACCUUCACCUACCAUGGGAAGCUCCUCAGUUUAAAAUAUUGUACAAAACAAGUUUCAGAAGUGAUGUAUGGCGGGAUUCAAAAGGAUGGACAGGCCACUGGUUGGAGAAGAAGGUGACAGAGACAAUAGGAGAUAAUUUAUUGAGAGAGAAAGUUUAAAUUAAAAAAAAAAAAGCGUGUUGGGAUAAAUUGCCAAAGUUGCUAUAAAGAUUCACUGUGAAUAGAGAA
rnacentral:lncRNA from 1 species